rnacentral:lncRNA from 1 species
AAUAUUUCAUAUUAUAAUCCUGCAAAUAACAACAUCUGAAUAAUUAAAAAUAAGAUAAUAAUAUCUAAAAAAUUAUUUUUAUAUAUCCGAUUCUGCACAAUGCACGAAUCUACGACUAAUUUAGAAUAGUAAUGAAUGAAUUUUCUUCAAAUAGUCUUUUUGACCUCCUACCCGUCAAAGUAUGCACUGUAGACUACCACUCGGCCAU